AGAAACUUAAGUUAACCUAAACUAAAGGCCUUCAAAGCCUAAAACGGGGACAACCCCAGUUUCUG
rnacentral:tRNA from 1 species